rnacentral:rRNA from 1 species
GCUUGCGGCCAUAUCACCCUCAGCACGCCCGAUCUCAUCUAAUAUCGAGAGCUAAGCAGGGUCGGACCUGGUACUUGAAUCAGAGCCCGCUUGGGACAGCCUGGUGCUGUAAGUC